rnacentral:lncRNA from 1 species
CCUACCCCGAUUUCUAUUCAAGUAAAUUGCGGGUGCCUUGGUAUCUUCAGAGUGCCGGGCCCAUAUCAAAGUCCUUGGUUGUUGAAGUACUAUUUUUGGUUUGAUCUACUGCUGUGGCAAGUUACCACAAUAGUAGCUAAGGUCAGUUACUCUCUUCCCUUCUUUUGAGAUUUCAUUACUCUCUUCCCAGAUAAUAGUAGCUCACCAUUUCUCAUGGGCAUAAUUGAAGAUCAAGG